GAUGAACGCUGACAGAAUGCUUAACACAUGCCAGUCAACUUGAAAUUCGGUUUGGGUGGCGGACGGGUGAGUAACGCGUAAAGAACUUGCCUCACAGCUAGGGACAACAUUUGGAAACGAAUGCUAAUACCUGAUAUUAUGAUUAUAUGGCAUCGUAUAAUUAUGAAAGCUAUAUGCGCUGUGAGAGAGCUUUGCGUCCCAUUAGCUAGUUGGAGAGGUAACAGCUCACCAAGGCGAUGAUGGGUAGCCGGCCUGAGAGGGUGAUCGGCCACAAGGGGACUGAGACACGGCCCUUACUCCUACGGGAGGCAGCAGUGGGGAAUAUUGGACAAUGGACCGAGAGUCUGAUCCAGCAAUUCUGUGUGCACGAUGAAGUUUUUCGGAAUGUAAAGUGCUUUCAGUUGGGAAGAAAAAAAUGACGGUACCAACAGAAGAAGUGACGGCUAAAUACGUG
rnacentral:rRNA from 1 species